rnacentral:lncRNA from 1 species
UGCAAGUGCCUCUUGCAACAGGUGAAUUGACUUUACUUCAGCCUUGCUGAACAUUAGCAAAUCAUCCGCAAAACUGAUUUGAACCACACCCAUCUUUUUACAUCUGGGAUUGCAAUGACAAAUAGGUAAGGGGACAUAGGGUCCCCUUGCUUUAUGCCCUUUUUCCCUGUAAUGGCUUUGACAAGCAACCAUUGAUUACAAGGGAAUAGGAAACAGAUGUCACACAUUCUAUGAUCCAUGUUAUGAAUUUGCUUGGGAAUCCUAAUUUAGCUAGCAACACCUUCAUAACCCCCCACUCAAUUGAGUCAUAAGCCUUUCUAAGGUCCACUUUCAUGACACAUAUAGGUGAUAAUCCUUUCCUGGUAUACCACUUAAAGAUUUCAUAGCUGAACAAGAUAUUGUCUACUAUAUUCCUACCUUCCACAAAAGCUGAUUGAGAAGGGUUUAUAAUAUGCUGGGCAAUACCUUUGAUUCUGCCUUUCAGUAUUUUAGUGAGGAUUUUGUAGACUGUGGUGCAGUAAGCUAUGGGUCUAUAAUCCCUCACAUAAGAUGGAUUGGUUACUUUGGGGAUUAAGGUCACAACUGUAUGACUGAAAGCUUUCAAAAGUUUUCUAGAUUCCAAAAAUUCUUUUACAGCAUCAAUUACAUCCUGUUUUAUCAUGGGCCAAUUUUGUGUAAAAAAUUCAGCUGGAUAGCCAUCAAUACAUGGGGAUUUAUUAUGCGGCAUGAUUUUUAUGGCUAUAUAGAUUUCUUGCUCAGUAAUAAGAGUGAUUAGCUUGCAUUUCUAAUCAUGUGAUAGGCAGGGUCCACUUCUGAUAACUUCAAUAUUUGGACAGGGUAGUUCUGUUGCUGCUGAGCUAAUGAGGUUUGAGAAAAAUUUGGUGAAUUCAGCUUCAACUUGCAUUGGAUCCUCUAACUUAUUUCCCUGUUCAUCAUAUAUACUAGUAAUGGCACUCUUGCUUGUCCGAAGCUUUAGCUGCGCAUGGAAAUACUUUGUUUGCAUCCCCCCAUCUAUCCAAUUGACUCUAGCUUUCUACCUGUAAACUAGCUACUCAACUUUACUCUAUUUCUUGAGUUCACUCAGCCAGAUUAUUUCUUGCUUAAUUAAAUUGGGACAUAGAGGCUUUCUAAUAAGCAUGCCUUGUGUAAUCUCAAGACCUUGUAUAGCCUGCUGGAUUCUUUGACUGUAGGAAGCUAAAUAGGUGUUUAAGUUUCUUAAACUAUUCUGCAAUGCCUUUAGUUUAUACCAAAGGUUGAACAUUUUAGUACCUUGACAUGGAGUGUUCCAUGUAUCUUCUAAAAUCCUUCUAAAGUCGGGAUGUUUCAACACUAUCAUGUAUAAUUUGAAAGGUUUUGGACCUGUUGGUGGCUGAGAGCACAUACUGAUAACUAUGGGAGAAUGAUCAGAUAUUUCAGGAUUCAAAAACUCUGCCUCUACAUGACUAUAAGUAGAUACCCAGUGAGAGUUACUGAAAGCCUAAUCUAUUUUAGAAUAUACUCUACUACUGGGGUCCUUCCUAUUGUAGAAGGUGAAAUGACAUCCUUUAGCUUUGAGCAUUGUAAGAGAGAGGGUAGUGAGACACCCUUGGAAGUUGUCAACUUCACUAGGCAACACAGGUGAGCCAAUUCUAUCUUCUGUUGUCAAAAUAUUGUUGAAAUCACCACUAAGCAGCCAGGGAUUCUAAAUAUUUUGUUCUAGCUGAAGUAAGUCUUACCAUAGUACUUCCCUAUGUUGAUGUUCAUUCCUAGCAUAUAUUAUAGUCUGGUAAAACUGGGAGUGGUUUGCAUGGAGCUCGACCUUACAAUGUAUAAAUUGUUCAUGAAGGAGCUCCACCUGCAAGUUUAUGUUUGCCUUCCAGAAAAUCCACACCCUGCCAUUGUAGGCGAUAGGGUAGUUGCAUCUAUGAUUCCACCACUUGCAACUUUUGCUAUUACCUUUUUUGCUUUAUUUUCUUUCACUCUAGUGUCCAACACACCCAUUAUUUUCACUUUAUUCUUCUGCAGAAAAAGUUUUAACUCUUUCUGUUUUGAGGACUGAUUCAGUCCUCUUAUGUUUCACGUUGAUAGUAUCAUGGAGAUUUGUGUUGCAUUUCCUCAUUUUCAAUAUUACUAGUACCUUCCUGCAUUAGCAUUGCAAAUCUAUUUACUAUGUUGCUGGAACUAGUUGUUGUCUGUUUUCCUUUUAUGCUUCUAGCCAUUGUGAUCCCUUGUUUACAUAUAAUUUCAUUGUCCCUUCCCUGUUGAACCUCUGAUGAAGCCUAUGUCUCUCCUGAAUCUUCUUUCCUUACUUGCGCUUCUUUCAUUGUCCAUUCCUGCCUAAUCCGUGGGCGUUGCCUUUCCUUUUUGUUCCUUCUUCUUCGCCUGUUCUUCACAUCCUGGAAUUCACCCUCCGUUGUGGAGUUUUCUUUCAUCCAACAAUCUUCUGUUGUGUGCCCAAGCUGUAAGCAUUCACUGCAAAAUUUAGGUCGCCAGUCAUACUCAACAUAUUAGUAAAGCUUCCCCCUGGAGUGUUUAAUUCAAUAGUAUCUGGGAGCGGUGUGACAAUAUCCACUUCAACCAGGAUUCUAGCAUAGGAGAUACGACUUAUAUUUGCAGUGAAUUGGUCCGUGUAUAAUGGUCGUCCCACUGCACUCGCUACUUUGCCGAGAGCUUCAGUCGACCAGUAGCCCACCGGAAGACCUGGGAGAGUUACGCAUAACAGAAUUGUAGUAAUACAAUCUUGGUUGAAAAUGAAGUUCACCUGCUAGUCAUGAAGUACGAAAGUCUUGUUGUGAAAAGUAUACAAGCCAGCCUGCUUCACCUUUUCACAGUCCUCCAUAGAAUCAAAUCGAAAGAUGAAAUAACCUUCAUCAUCCUGUAGUACCUGAUGUUUUUGGGAAAAACCCCAUGCCUGCGAGAUGUAGCUUUCCAUUGUCCUCAGGUAUGGCGUAUCUCCUAUAACGUAGCCAAUAAUGGCCAAUAAUGUCUCUUUUCUUUCUUGGGUUAAUUUCAACUGUCUACGUGACAUGUUUAAGACAAUAAGAUCAACAAAUAUUUUGAUCCUUUCUACAUAUUUUUAGUUUAAGACCAUAAAAUUAAAAAAUAUUCGUUACUUUUUCUAUAACUUUGUGUUAAGUCAAAAUCAAAUAAAUAAGUUAAAACAAAGGGAAUAAAAGCCUUAUAAGUUAAAAAUAAUAAUUUUUCUUAUGAUAUAUUUUAGUCUUUCUUUUAAUUUUCAAACAAAUGCACACACGAAAAAUUUCUCCUUUUUAUUUUAUUGAAAGUGUUUGAAUGAAAGUCUUUAACGAUCUAAAUUGAUUUUUGCCUUAUGUAUAAUUAAUUUCAUUAUUUUUUCUCAACUAAACUUUACAUUGCUAAUUCAUAUUGUUUAAAAAAUAAUACAAUAUUUUAUUACUAUAAAAAAUUUUGAUGCUACAAACUAUUGUAUGAUUUAUGAUAAAUUAAAUAAUUAAAAGUCAGACUCAAUAAAAUACUUCUUAGACUCAAUAAAAUACUUUUUGUAGAUGUUUCUUCAAUGAGUCCUUACAAGUUUAUUAAAGUUUCACAAAUUUCUUGUGGGGAUUAAAAAAAAUAUUUUUUUAAAUUAAAUUACUAUUAUCCCACAUAAAAGACGGCAAUAAAAUUUUGAAUUAAUUUUAAAUAUAAUUAGAUAAAUAGAUAUUUUAUAGUGCCACUAUCACUUCUUUAUGAUUUAUCAUUUUUGUAUAGCAUUUUAAAUGCCCAUGUAAUUGUUCAAAUUUAUUAUAAUGGAUGAGAUUUUAAAAGCUUACUAAAACUUAAUUAAGGAUAAAAUAUAGUCAUGUGAGGUCUACCAAAAUAAGAGGUUCUCCCUUAUAUAUAGUAUAGUUUUAUAAGAUCCGUGUGAAGCUCGGGCCCAAACUCAUGUAAUUUGAUAUUUUAUGAAUAAUAUGAUUUAAAAAUAUAUAUAAAAAAUAAUUAUAACUUGCAAAGAUCAUAAAAAUUAAAAAAUAUUAAUAAACUAAUUUAUGGGCAUAUGAUUAAUUUCUUUUCUAAUUUCUCAAUUCAAGUUCAUCUUUGCAAUCAGGUAGAUGAAGACGAAAGUGAUCAAGUGGAUCAAUUAUUUACUCAAGGCUUCUUGUGUGUGAUGGAAAAUGUAUGAUUUUAUUUACAAUUUCACAUGACAAGAAUUCAUGCUAGUUAAAUGUGGUGCUUUAAGCAUAAUUUUAUACUAACUUAAGAAAGAAAAAUUAGACUCACUAAAAUAAACAUCGAGAUCAAUUGAUUCUCUCUCUAUAGUUGAUGCUUAAAAAUAUUGAUUCUCAAUUGACCAGAAAAGAGAUUUUAAAUAUAACUUGAUCUUAAUUCAUAUCAUUACCUUAAUUUUAACCUUAUCAAUAAUUUUAAUUUUCAGUAUAUGAAAUAAGUUUGAUAUUUUAAAAAGCAGUGAAUAAAAUUGUCCACAGAAAAUUAUUCAAUUUAUAAAAGAUAAUUAAGAAAUGCAUCAAAACCAUAUUCAAUUCGAUAGAAAUAAAAUAUAUCUUCAUAUCCACGUUAUUUGUACUAAAC